UACAGAGGAGCCAAGCGUUGUCCGGAUUGACUGGGCGUAAAGCGCACGCAGGCGGACGCGCGCGUGGGGUGUGAAAUCUGGCCGCUUAACGGCCAGGCGCCAUCCCAUACGGCGUGUCUGGAGUGAUGCAGAGGUCGAUGGAAUUGCCGGUGUAGAGGUGAAAUGCGCAGAGAUCGGGAGGAACACCAAUGGCGAAAGCAGGUACCUGGACUAGUACUGACACUCAGCUGCGAAAGCUAGGGGAGCAAACAGG
rnacentral:rRNA from 1 species